AGUAGAAAGUCUUCCUAUUGAGCACAUUUCUCAUGUUCUCAUGUACAUCGGCAUUGGUAUUGCUGUGGGAAUCGUACUUGUCAUCGUAAUCACAGUUUGGGCAUUUGCACCAAGACGAUGUGUGACUUCAGCGUCAAUAGGCCCAAAUGACCCAACGGAAAAUAGGGUACAUCUAAGACGAACAACCAGCGACAUAGCAGAGCAACCAGAGGAACAGAAGUCAUUCAUGAAUCAAAGCACCCGAGGUUCUUGACCUCUGAAGACUGUUUGACCACAAACGUCCUCCUUUACACUAAGACUUUUUAGAUUUGACUCUGCUCUGCAUGUUGUCUGAGGAGAAAAAAUGAGGGAGAUUUAUAAGGGAAAAUUACUUGGUCACCUAUUUAAUUUAUAUUACUGUUAUGGUGAGCCUUAAGCUAGGUAGUAAGAAUGAAGCAAAUCGAACAAAAUUCUGCUGUUAAAGAUGUUUUGGCAAACAUGAUUCCAUUUUAUAAAUGGAUGACACGUAUAAAUGAAUUGAAUGAUUUUUGUAAAACAUAAGUACUUUUUUUCUAAGUUAGAAGUAUACUUACAGAGCUCAUGAACGAGUACAUGGGCCGACAUUAAGGAAGGACUGAACACUGACUGUAAAAAGUCGCAUUGCACUUUACUGCCGAUUAGGUCAUCCAGUUUUACGACACUUAAUCACCUAAAAAUAUGUGGAGACGGGAAGAAGGGUCUUUAGGAGCCCCCAAGUACAAUAAAAAAAAACAUCCUAACUGACUGUCUAUUCACCCUGAUGAUAGUAGAGGGUUCUGUUGAUCAGUAGAACCCAAUAAGGGAAGUAUUUGGCACCAGGUGCGGCCCCUAUAUUUGGCAGCCCCCCCAACAGCCCCUUACAAACUCACACAAACACACCUACACAUACUCACUAAGACACAGAUACACCUGCACAUUCAUGUUAACACAUACUCCAUCUCACACACACGUACACAUACACAUUUAUGCUCACACACACUUACACAUACACAUCCAUGCUCACACACAAACACGCAUACACGCUCACAGACAAACACAUCCAUAUCCACAUCCAUGCUCAGAUAUACACAUACACAUUGGGGCUCACACACCAGAAUUUAUACAUGCAUGCUCAUACCCACACACACACGGAAAGAACAUGUCUUGCAAAUUGCCACCACUAUCACAGUGCCGCCUGGAUCUCAUGGACCCUUCGGGACCCGUGUAAGGGCUGGCUUUGAUAGUCUAGGUGAGCAUAGGCAGCUAUGUGAUCUCUUCAUAUGCACUCUCAUAUUUUAUUUUUAGAUGUGGCCGGUCUAUUUUAAUUAUUUUUAUGUCCUGUUGAUUAACACAAAUGUUCUUUGACAUAAAGUAUGGUGGUGUUCUAUGUCAUACUGAAAGUGAAAAACUGGCUUAUGUUCUUUUCAUAAUGUGAGUUACUAAGUUACUUUGUAUAAUUUAUUCAUAAAAUGGAGUAGAAUU